GCAAGUCGAACGGUAACAGGAAGCAGCUUGCUGCUUUGCUGACGAGUGGCGGACGGGUGAGUAAUGUCUGGGAAACUGCCUGAUGGAGGGGGAUAACUACUGGAAACGGUAGCUAAUACCGCAUAACGUCGCAAGACCAAAGAGGGGGACCUUCGGGCCUCUUGCCAUCGGAUGUGCCCAGAUGGGAUUAGCUAGUAGGUGGGGUAACGGCUCACCUAGGCGACGAUCCCUAGCUGGUCUGAGAGGAUGACCAGCCACACUGGAACUGAGACACGGUCCAGACUCCUACGGGAGGCAGCAGUGGGGAAUAUUGCACAAUGGGCGCAAGCCUGAUGCAGCCAUGCCGCGUGUAUGAAGAAGGCCUUCGGGUUGUAAAGUACUUUCAGCGGGGAGGAAGGGAGUAAAGUUAAUACCUUUGCU
rnacentral:rRNA from 1 species